rfam:Felis catus isolate Cinnamon breed Abyssinian chromosome A1, whole genome shotgun sequence.
GCCUGGGUGGCUCAGUCAGUUGAGCAUCUGAUUUUGGCUCAGGUCAUGAUCUCACGUUUUGUGGGUUUGAGCCCUGCGUCGGGCU